rnacentral:rRNA from 1 species
AAGCUUGCUUCUUUUGGAAUCGAGUGGCAAACGGGUGAGUAACACGUAAACAACCUGCCUUCAGGAUGGGGACAACAGACGGAAACGACUGCUAAUACCGAAUACGCUUGGGAGACCGCAUGAUCUUCCAAGGAAAGGGUGGCCUCUACCUGUAAGCUAUCGCCUGAAGAGGGGUUUGCGUCUGAUUAGGCAGUUGGUGAGGUAACGGCCCACCAAGGCGACGAUCGGUAGCCGACCUGAGAGGGUGAUCGGCCACAUUGGAACUGAGAGACGGUCCAGACUCC